AGCCGAAACAGCGGACUUUACAUCCGCCGUCCGCCGGGAGUGGUCGCCCGGUGCUGAUGAUGGCAGACCAUA
rnacentral:hammerhead_ribozyme from 1 species